UGGGGAAUAUUGGACAAUGGGCGCAAGCCUGAUCCAGCAAUGCCGCGUGAGUGAUGAAGGCCUUAGGGUUGUAAAGCUCUUUCGCACGCGACGAUGAUGACGGUAGCGUGAGAAGAAGCCCCGGCUAACUUCGUGCCAGCAGCCGCGGUAAUACGAAGGGGGCUAGCGUUGUUCGGAAUUACUGGGCGUAAAGGGCGCGUAGGCGGCCUGUUUAGUCAGAAGUGAAAGCCCCGGGCUCAACCUGGGAAUAGCUUUUGAUACUGGCAGGCUUGAGUUCCGGAGAGGAUGGUGGAAUUCCCAGUGUAGAGGUGAAAUUCGUAGAUAUUGGGAAGAACACCGGUGGCGAAGGCGGGCCAUCUGGACGGACACUGACGCUGAGGCGCGAAAGCGUGGGGGAGCAAACAGGAUUAGAUACCCUGGUAGUCCACGCCGUAAACGAUGAAUGCUAGACGUCGGGGUGCAUNCACUUCGGUGUCGCCGCUAACGCAUUAAGCAUUCCGCCUGGGGAGUACGGCCGCAAGGUUAAAACUUAAAGGAAUUGACGGGGUC
rnacentral:rRNA from 1 species